rnacentral:misc_RNA from 1 species
CAAGAGUUGUAAAAUACUCCCAAACCCUCUGUGAACCUCAUACCUUUUCGUUCGUUGCUUCGGCAGGCGGCCCCCGGGGAGGGGGCCACAGCCCCUUGGGUGGGGUGCCUGCCGGCGACCCACAAACCAAACCCUAGUGUUGUAUCGUGUUACCUCUGAGUUCAAACCAAAAAAUCAAACCA